UUGGACCUGAUAUCAGGCAAGUCACCCGCUGAACUUAAGCAUAUUAAUAAGCGGAGGAAAAGAAACCAACCAGGAUUCCCCUAGUAACGGCGAGUGAAGCGGGAAGAGCUCAAGCUUAAAAUCUCUGUGCCAGUUUGGCAUGGCGAAUUGUAGUCUAUGGAGGCGAUGUCAGUGCGGCUAUGCGGGCUAAGUCCCUUGGAAGAGGGCAGCAUCGAGGGUGAUACUCCCGUAUGUGCCUGUGUAGCUGUGCGUACGACACGUUUUCUGAGAGUCGCGUUGUUUGGGACUGCAGCGCAAAGUAGGUGGUAAAUUCCAUCUAAAGCUAAAUAUUGGUGCGAGACCGAUAGCGAACAAGUACCGUGAGGGAAAGAUGAAAAGAACUUUGAAAAGAGAGUUAAAGAGUACCUGAAACUGCUGAAAGGGAACCGAGUCGUAUCUAGUGCUAUAAUCUGUGGCAUAUUCCAUUGCCGUGUGGAUGCGUGCAGUGUUUUGGAAGUGGUUUUGCUGCUCCUAAUGCUGUUGUGCGUUUGCCUGGUGGUGCUCUGUGUCAUAGUGAGACGUCAGAGUCAGUUCGUAUGCUGCGGGAAAUGGCCGUUGGGAAGGUAGGUCACUUCGGUGACUGUUUAUAGCCUGACGUGCUAGUCGUCGUGGUUGGGACUGAGGUGCCUUAAUGUGCUUUUGAGUGUGCGUGUUUCUCGUYYGGCUCGUYGUUGGGACAGCUUGCUGUGUCAGUGAUUGAGUUGGGCGAUUGAGAUGUGUAUUAUCUUAUUGCCGUUCGGACUUG
rnacentral:rRNA from 1 species